AUGCACUCACUUAAAUCGUCAAUAGUCAGUCAGUCCAUCAUCGUGUUCGAACCGGUCGUCCAUUUUUUUCGCCCAAAAAUGUCAAAGCUACUCCUACAAGUCAUAUUUGCUUUGUGCGUUUGUGUAGCAAUAGGAAAUUGCGCUGUCGCCAUGGAAAGACGUCAUCCGAACGCUGGCCCCCAUAGUUGCAUUUCAAGCAGUUACAAUUUAAAUAUGAGAGCUGGGGAUGCUGUGUCUGUUCCAGGCAAGUGCAUGAAAGCGAUGUGCAAAGAUAAUGGCGAUAUUGUGUACUACAGCUGUGGAGUGGUCGCAAUUCCACCGGGAUGUAAACUUGUCACUGCUGAUCAAAGUCUACCAUAUCCACAAUGUUGCAGUACGCAAUUUGUUUGUAACUAAUCUUUGUUGCGGUGAACACAUUUCAUUUGAAUGAUGAACAAAUAAACAUAUAUUUUUGGAUUGUUAA